AGGAGAUGCUAUCCUAUCAAACCCUAAGCUGGUUACUCAAGCUUCAGUAAUCUCAUAUGAAAUGUAUGUUUUUUUUAUCAAUAAAUACUUUUUUGCUGAUCAAAAAAAGAUUACAUUUUUUUAUGCCCAUAACUCUCUAUUAAUUUCAUGUAUAAUGUGAUUUUAAUUUAAACUUCGAUUUACAAUUGCUAAGGUUAUAGGUUAUCGGUUAAUGCAGAGAGAUAAAAAGGCUACACUCGUUUGUUGGGGGCAAUUACUAUAUCAGAUUGGCAAUGGAUGGAACAUAAUUUAGGGAGCAUCAAAUGAUUACAUUUUGAAUUUUUGAAUAUGUUUGUCAUAGGUUUUUGUUAUGAAUUUGCAAGCUUAGAAGUUUUUUUGGAAUUACAUGUUUAAAGUUUGGGAUUGUAAGGGAUUUGUACUUAUAUUGGAUGUUUUGGAUUUGAUAUUUUGUUUAUAUUUAAUAUGAUACUAUUUUUGAAUUAAGUUUAUAUUUUGGAUGC